rnacentral:rRNA from 1 species
UCAAGCUACUAAGGGCAUACGGCGGAUGCCUAGGCGCCAUCAGCCGAUGAAGGACGCGGUAAGCUGCGAAAAGCUACGGGGAACUGCAAGCAAGUAUUGAUCCGUAGAUGUCCGAAUGGGGAAACCCACCUGCCGUCAUGGGCAGGUAUCCGAAAGGAAGGGAACCCGGGGAACUGAAACAUCUAAGUACCCGGAGGAAGAGAAAUCAAACGAGAUGCCCACAGUAGCGGCGAGCGAAGAGGGCAGAGGGCAAACCGGGGAGCUACGGCUCUCCGGGGUUGAGGACUGCAUUUAGUCUUAAUGGUCUAUCCGAACUACCUGGAAAGGUAGGCAACACAGUGUAAAAGCCACGUAGGUUAAAGACCGGAGAGAUGAGCAGUAUCCAGAGUACCACGAGGCACGAGGAAUCUUGUGGGAAGCCGGGGGGACCACCCUCCAACCCUAAACACUGAAUGGCGACCGAUAGCGCAUAGUACCGUGAGGGAAAGGUGAAAAGAACCCCGGGAGGGGAGUGAAAGAGAACCUGAAACCGUAUGUCUACAAGCAGUCGGAGCGAAAGCGACGGCGUGCCUAUUGAAGAAUGAACCAACGAGUUACGUGCACUAGCGAGGUUAAGUGGAAGACACGGAGCCGAAGCGAAAGCGAGUCUUAAGAGGGCGGAUAGUUAGUGUACGUAGACCCGAAACCGCAGUGAUCUACCCAUGUCCAGGUUGAAGCGCAGGUAAAAUUGCGUGGAGGACCGAACCUGUGAGCGUUGAAAAGCUUUAGGAUGAGAUGUGGGUAGAGGUGAAAUUCCAAUCGAACGCGGAGAUAGCUGGUUCUCCCCGAAAUAGCUUUAGGGCUAGCCUCAAGUAGUAAGUAUAGGCGGUAGAGCACUGAUCGGGCUAGGGGCCAUAAAGGUUACCGAACCCUGUCAAACUCCGAAUGGUUAUACUGUAGAGCUUGGGAGUCAGACUACGAGUGAUAAGAUCCGUGGUCAAAAGGGAAACAGCCCAGACCACCAGCUAAGGUCCCCAAUGUCGUACUAAGUGGAAAAGGAUGUGGGGUCUCUAAAACAACCAGGAUGUUGGCUUAGAAGCAGCCACCAUUUAAAGAGUGCGUAAUAGCUCACUGGUCGAGAGACCCUGCGCCGAAGAUUACCGGGGCUAAAGUACGAAACCGAAGCUGUGGCUACGACGUAAGUCGUGGGGUAGGGGAGCGUUCUGUGAGGGCUGAAGUCGUUCUGUAAGGAACGGUGGACUUCACAGAAGUGAGAAUGUUGGUAUGAGUAGCGAAAAGAAUGGUGAGAAUCCAUUCCACCGAAAGCAUAAGGAUUCCUGGGCAACGAUCGUCGUCCCAGGGUAAGUCGGGACCUAAUCCGAGGCAUGGAGCGUAGGAGAUGGACAACUGGCAGAUAUUCCAGUACCGGUAAUGAUUGUUUGAGCGAUGGAGUGACACAGGAGGGCAGGCAGGCAGGAGAUUGGUUGUUCCUGUACAAGCGUGUAGGAUGGGACGUAGGCAAAUCCGCGUCCUGUGAGUCUGAGGCGUGAUGUGGAGGUUCCGGAAACGGAACUGAAGCUGCUGACCCCACACUGUCGAGAAAAGCUUCUAGUUAGAGAAUUACCGCCCGUACCGUAAACCGACACAGGUAUGCGGGGAGAGAAUCCUAAGGUGCGCGGGAGAACCCUCGUUAAGGAACUCGGCAAAAUGUACCCGUAACUUCGGGAUAAGGGUAGCCGCUGUUGUGAAGUCUGCACAGACGGAGCAUGAGGCGGUCGCAGAGAAGAGGCCCAAGCGACUGUUUACCACAAACACAGGUGCCUGCUAAAGAGAAAUCUGACGUAUAGGUGCUGACACCUGCCCAGUGCCGGAAGGUUAAGGAAGGAUGUCCGGAGCAAUCCAAAGCAUUCGACCGAAGCCCCGGUGAACGGCGGCCGUAACUAUAACGGUCCUAAGGUAGCGAAAUUCCUUGUCGGGUAAG